UCGUCUCCAGAUUCCAGGGUCGGGAAUUAUAAACAGAUCAAAACCAGAUAGCUUAAAAGGUGCUGGUAGCGAUCUGCUCAUUAGUCAUCACAAAAACAAGCUGAUGCGUCUCGAUGACGGCCCCUCUCGUGCUCUUUGUGAGUAAAGCCUGAGUAACACUUUCUUCUCGCCACAGAUGACCGCCCUCUUCCUGCCACUAGAGAAAGGGAAGCGGGCCCACAACAGAUACCUUACAUUGUUUCGAAUCAGUGUUUCCACUCAUAAGUAAAGAUGAUAUCUUUUUCAGGGAGACGCCCAGAUUACAAGGGUUUAGGUGGCGAAUCACUCUACGCUGGUUAGUUUGGUUUAUAUCAGUCCUUGAAUCAAAUUAGAUCACACGAUGGUAAUUACACCUGCAAGUGUUCGCUAAAGUUUGCAUCUGAAUACAUGAAAGAGCGGCGUGGACUUUGCCGCCACAUCACUGACACUGUCAAUCCCACUCCAGCCUCUUGAAGGUAUGCAGUCAUCCUCUCUGCUGAGAAUGAGCAAACACUUUCUAAUCCUUUGAAAUGUUCAGUUCUCUGUUUACUGUCUUUUUAUUAAGGUGGGGUUGUGUGAGGCGCUCGCCACUCGUGGAGCAGUAGGCUAUCAGCAGCUGCAGGCGAGAUCAUCCCUGCAACGGAAUUCAGCUUAUUCCAAGAAACACUGUCGAUGCUCUGCUUGGGAAAGUUUCAGCUCCGUUCUUUGCUAUCAGAAAGCCGUUUAGGUUUCGCACCACUCUUGAAUGGUCAGUUAUAUCAAAAUUCAUGAUUACGAUUAAGUCUAUCGACAUCGAAGUCUAAAACUUAAGAACUCUUAAAAGCUCUUUUUUUAAAAACUGAAAAUAAAUAAGAAUUAAAAAAAUAUAUAUUUAUAUAUAUGUUAUUAGCUUUGACUUAACUAAAACUGGACGUCAGACCUUCUCUUAUAGAUAGAUAGAUAGAUAGAUAGAUAGAUAGAUAGAUAGAUAGAUAGAUAGAUAGAUAGAUAGAUAGAUAGAUAGAUAGAUACUUUAAUCACAGGCUGUACAUCCAUCAUGUCAUCUAGCCUUUUCAAGCUUUUAUAUUUAUAAUAUCAAGAAUUAGGCCAUGUAGAGUCUCAUUUAUCCAGGUCAUGGUUUUCUAGAAAUCUCCAAAAUCUGGCAACUGGACUGUGUAGAGUUGAGAAGACGUUUUGGGGGGAGCUGGUAUUUUAUCUUACUGGAGGAGGGAAAACAACGACUAGGAGGAGUUGGAGUGAAUGGGUCAACCCCCACCAGCUGUUUUAGAAGUGAAGAAGCUUCUUGGAUAAGCGGCGAAACGUCUUCUCAACUCUACAAAGUCCAGUUGCCAGAUUUUGGAGAUUUCUAGAAAAUCAAGAAUUGGGAUUUUAUUCUAUUACGACAUGGACCGAUGUUACUGACUAGCCUUGCGAGUGUUUGCUUGUUCGUCAUCCCUACUCCGUCCCUUUGCUUUUCAGGCGCAAAUUCAGUCACAUACAGACUCACCUGCCUCCUCCUCCUCCAGCCAAAUUUCCAGUUGAAAUUAAAACCUGAUGAAUCAACUAGUUCUAAUCUAAGAUGGGCUGGUGAGUCAAAGAGACGCAAAAGUUUCAAAAUUCACGGGGCAAAAGUCACAAAGAAGAUCCAAUUCAUUGACUGAUGCUCUGAUUGGACGUUUUGAUGUGAAAUGUGAAAUAAUGAGAAUUAUCUAAAUAGAGUAGACACGAACAUCAACAUUACUGUGUGGGAGAGAGUUUCUCAAAAUGAGCUGGUCCAGUCUGCAGAAGCUGGUAGCCUAGCUUCAUUUUCAGUUCUCGAGGCCAAACUGACUGGGUUCCUUUUCUGGGUGACACCACUCAAAAAAGAAAAAUCACUUUUAUCUUUAACAAAAAGUCCUGUAUGCUUCCUCUGACCCACAGGUGUAGACAAACAGCAGUCUGGUGGGCAGAGAGGAAACUCUCAGCCAAAGAAGUUGGAUAUAAAUAUCCACUUUAUAAGACAGUUUCCUCCAAAAGCCAACGCUUCACGUCCUACCUUGUAAUUUAUCACUGCUCUCUCUGUCUUAUAGGAAGAAAAUCAAAGGACGGGAAAUAUCCAGAUCAAAGAUUGCCAUGUGUAAAGUUUCUUUUAUUUUCCCUCAUUAUUUCUGAACUAUAUGGGAAUCUUUCUAAACACACUGAUCUCGUCUUCAGAAACAACCACUUGCUGAACAACGCCUGAGUAAAUUUUAAAGCAAAAGCCUGGCUGUAAUGACGCUAAAUGCACUGUUAACUUACACACCAGCUCUCAGAUGUGUGCUCCUUUUAGUUUGAGACUAAGGGUGUAAAGGCGGGGAUGAUGAUUUCAGAUUCCUGGGAGAAAAUUCCCAGGCCUGGAAGAGCCCGUGGAAAGUAAUCAAGUAGCAGAGUGAUGUCAUUGUGAUGAAAGGCAGCCUGUCAGACAGUUGGCGACUAUGGGUGCUCUUUGGCAUGGGCCGCAGCCCGCUAUACACCAAAAUAUGACAUCAAAGCAGGUACCCGGCCAGGCCAAGAGGCUGGCACUGAUCAUUGUCUUCUUUGAUUACAGAAGCUUCAUCUUCUCGCUGGGAGGAUAAAAGAAAACGGCUGCUUGGUGUUAAGAGAGUGUCAAAAAUAAUGAGGCACAUGCCAUGCGCUAAUGGCGUCCCAGUGGUUCAGUGGAUGGGAGCGCAUACCGCUGAUACUCACAACAUGGUGGGACCAUUUCCCAGAGUGGGUUUAAGUCUAGUCCUCGACUGUGGGGUGUUCUAGUGGAUCUUUCCAGUAAAUCUCGGUCUUAAACCCUGUCUUAAAAACUGGCACUGGGAGUGUUGACCUAACAUCAGAUUCAUGUUGCACGUCCUCUGUUGUUGAAAAGUGAGGUCAGGGUGGAAGUGUAUGAAAGGGGAGCGACUGGCAACGAAAACCGAGGAAACUCCAGCACAGACCAGAUUAAAAGGCCCAGAUUUAAAAAGAGAGAAUUUAAUGUGUUUACAACUUGCAUUAUUUCUUUACUCUUCUCAAGUGUGCAGGAGUAAACUAUCUUAAAACUCACUGGUUUUGGUUAAACUGAGGCAUAAUGAGCCAUAUUCCCACAGCAGCCAUCUUCUUGUGCCUCAAACCGAAAACAUACAGGACCCGUAUUGAGCAUGUUCCAUAUUUGCUCACAACAGGUUGUUUUGCCUUUCUGUGCUCUAUUUCCUGCUAAUUUCGAUAUAAUUCAGUGACCGUCGAACCUCUACUAGCAGUCAAAAGUCCUGUUGGUGUCCACAUGGAUCAGGGAUUGACCAUUGGAUGCUUCUGUGUUACUGAUAAAUCCAUGACAUAUCUGCACAAACUGAUACACAGUCGGGAGUUCGCAUAUGGUGUUUUAUUUUGAAAUACCAGAUGAUAUCCGCAGUUUUCAUGGUUGACUUCCUGUCUAGGACCAUCCUUUCUGUGUGGAUGGACACGCAUUGGAAGCGUAGAGCAGCAAAAAUAGACUUGUUGCAGUGCUGCUCUUGAUACGAUGCUGCGAUGGCGCUGAUACGUGUCCUGUAUGCUUUGCUGCAUUGGUUGGUAUGGCAACCUAUUUGCUGCGUGAUACGCGACACUGCUGUCACGCUCUAAAUACACAUCCUGUAUGUUUUAGCCUUCGCUGUCAUCAGUGAAGCAUCAUGGUUGUACCUCUGAACCGUAGUCAGGUGGCAGGAUGUGAAACAAGACCGAGGCUUCUACUUCUCAUGUUGAAGGGUUCAUCCCCUUUACAUUACGUAGUCUGAAAUCCACAUUGACGUCUUUUCAUGACUCACAGAAGCAAACAAAACUAUCAGCGACAAUUCUGACGAUUUUCAUAUGAGGGUUUUUAAUGCCUGGAACCACAGCAGCAAAAGAAAUAUUUUUUUUACUUUUUUAACCGUCAAAACUCAGAAUAGGAUUUUUCGUUCGCGCAUACAUGUCGAAAAGAAAAUAGAUCCCAAACUGUUUUAUCCAGGUGUGAUACUCCGACAAUGAGAAGUUCGAUUUAGUGCCAUCUCAGUUUGACAGAGGUGUGACGUAUUGUAGUUGUUUGCCAGGUGACUAACCCCUUCGUUGGUUCGAGUCAGCAGUCAUCUAUACGCUUCGUCAUGCCUCUCCA
rnacentral:lncRNA from 1 species